UCGACCCGUCGCGACUGGCGUUGAGGUGGGACACCACCGGGGAGCGACCGACACGGUUAUCGACCGCACGCCUGGGCCGAUACG
rnacentral:ncRNA from 1 species